rnacentral:lncRNA from 10 species
UGCUAUCAGAAUGUUGUAAGGACACUGAGGUUCAGAGAGGUUACUUACCUUAAGGUCACGCAGCUACUAAGUGGCAGAAGAGAGGUUCAACUUGGAAGACACUGAAGUCUCUGGAAUGUGUGUGUAUGUGGCUGUGGUUAUAUGUAUGUGAAGAUCUCUCUUCCUCUAAGAAUUUUAAAAAGGAUCAAAAGAGAAAAUACAGGUGAUGAAGUAGAAAUUCAGUCAUGAAAAUAAAAAGACAUAUAUCAAAUAUACAGCAUCCUGGUGUCACAGAACAGACAGAACUGUCCUAGACACUGUGGGGAAAAGAUGGGCACUGGAGAGGAUUCCUAGCCUAUGCCUUUAGAUGGACUGUUUAGUGAAGACACCAGCUCUAAGGAGAUGAUCCAAGUCUUCAGAAUGAGAAUAAAGAACAUAAAAUGAAUAUACCGAGCCUCUACUUUGUGCUAGACCUGUGAACUCAUAGCCCUGAGCAUAAUUAUAUGCUGAGUCCUACGAAUCUUCCUAGGAAAUCACAUAUAUAUGAAUGAAACAUUUUAUAUCGAUUUUUAAAUGCUCACUACAUGCCUCUGAAGCAGGAGGAUUAAGAACACAGGCUCCGCAGUCAUAUACCUAAGGCAAGCAGUUUAUUGUGGUUUAAUGAUGAGAUGCAUGUGCUGAGGAGGUAAUCAGAAGAAGUGAGAAAAGGAGACGGUGUGAAAUUUUGAAGAUUUUAUAUGCCAUGGUGCAGAAAUAAAAGUUCAGCAGGGUCAAGUAAGUUGUCCAAUGUUCAGUAUGAUGGAGUGGGAUUCACAUGCAAGACUAACUACCACUGAACCAUUUACUUCUGACUUUGCUAUUCUGCUUCCACUCACUGAACAUCUCUCUGAGCAAGGCUCAGGACCUGGUAUGAAGGCUGAAACAAGAGCGGUUGCACAGCAAAUGUUUUGCUAUAAUGAGAGAAUACAUGAAUUAAAUGCGAAUUAAACUGC